AGCGGCGGAUGGGUGAGUAACACGUGGGGAACCUGCCCCUAAGUCUGGGAUACCAUUUGGAAACAGGUGCUAAUACCGGAUAAUAAAGCAGAUCGCAUGAUCAGCUUUUGAAAGGCGGCGUAAGCUGUCGCUAAGGGAUGGCCCCGCGGUGCAUUAGCUAGUUGGUAAGGUAACGGCUUACCAAGGCGACGAUGCAUAGCUGAGUUGAGAGACUGAUCGGCCACAUUGGGACUGAGACACGGCCCAAACUCCUACGGGAGGCAGCAGUAGGGAAUCUUCCACAAUGGACGCAAGUCUGAUGGAGCAACGCCGCGUGAGUGAAGAAGGUUUUCGGAUCGUAAAGCUCUGUUGUUGGUGAAGAAGGAUAGAGGUAGUAACUGGCCUUUAUUUGACGGUAAUCAACCAGAAAGUCACGGCUAACUACGUGCCAGCAGCCGCGGUAAUACGUAGGUGGCAAGCGUUGUCCGGAUUUAUUGGGCGUAAAGCGAGCGCAGGCGGAAAAAUAAGUCCAAUGUGAAAGCCCUCGGCUUAACCGAGGAACUGCAUCGGAAACUGUUUUUCUUGAGUGCAGAAGAGGAGAGUGGAACUCCAUGUGUAGCGGUGGAAUGCGUAGAUAUAUGGAAGAACACCAGUGGCGAAGGCGGCUCUCUGGUCUGCAACUGACGCUGAGGCUCGAAAGCAUGGGUAGCGAACAGGAUUAGAUACCCUGGUAGUCCAUGCCGUAAACGAUGAGUGCUAAGUGU
rnacentral:rRNA from 1 species